AACGAACGCUGGCGGCGUGCCUAACACAUGCAAGUCAAACGGUUUAGUAGCGAUACUAGGCAGUGGCGCACGGGUGAGUAAUGCAUGGGAACUUUCCAAGUGGAGAGGAAUACCUACGGGAAACUGUAGUUAAUACUUCGUAAGCAGAGCAUCGUAAGAAGUGUUCUGGAAACGUGGGGAUCGUAAGACCUACGGCCAUUUGAUAGGCUCAUGUCCCAUUAGCUAGUUGGUGAGGUAACGGCCCACCAAGGCGAUGAUGGGUAACUGGUCUGAGAGGACGAUCAGUCACACUGGAACUGAGACACGGUCCAGACUCCUACGGGAGGCAGCAGUGGGGAAUAUUGCGCAAUGGGCGAAAGCCUGACGCAGCAACGCCGCGUGAGUGAAGAAGGCCUUCGGGUUGUAAAGCUCUUUCGGUUGGGAAGAAGCGAAAGUGACGGUACCUGCAGAAAAAGCACCGGCUAACUACGUGCCAGCCGCCGCCGUAA
rnacentral:rRNA from 1 species